UACGGAGGGUGCAAGCGUUAAUCGGAAUUACUGGGCGUAAAGCGCACGCAGGUGGCUGAGUCAGUCGAUUGUGAAAGCCCUGGACUUAACCUGGGAAUUGCAGUCGAUACUACUCAGCUAGAGUAUGGGAGAGGGUAGUGGAAUUCCCGGUGUAGCGGUGAAAUGCGUAGAUAUGCGGAGGAACACCGAUGGCGAAGGCAGUCCCCUGGACCUGUACUGACGCUCAUGCACGAAAGCGUGGGGAGCAAACAGG
rnacentral:rRNA from 1 species